rnacentral:rRNA from 1 species
GGGGGGACCAUCCUCCAAGGCUAAAUACUACUGACUGACCGAUAGUGAACCAGUACCGUGAGGGAAAGGCGAAAAGAACCCCUGUGAGGGGAGUGAAAUAGAACCUGAAACCGUGUACGUACAAGCAGUAGGAGCAGGCUUUGUCCUGUGACUGCGUACCUUUUGUAUAAUGGGUCAGCGACUUAUAUUCAGUGGCAAGGUUAACCAUCUAGGGGAGCCGUAGGGAAACCGAGUCUUAACUGGGCGUUCAGUCUCUGGAUAUAGACCCGAAACCAGGUGAUCUAGCCAUGGGCAGGUUGAAGGUUGAGUAACAUCAACUGGAGGACCGAACCGACUAAUGUUGAAAAAUUAGCGGAUGACUUGUGGCUAGGGGUGAAAGGCCAAUCAAACCUGGAGAUAGCUGGUUCUCCCCGAAAGCUAUUUAGGUAGCGCCUCGGACGAAUACUACUGGGGGUAGAGCACUGUUAAGGCUAGGGGGUCAUCCCGACUUACCAACCCUUUGCAAACUCCGAAUACCAGUAAGUACUAUCCGGGAGACACACGGCGGGUGCUAACGUCCGUCGUGGAGAGGGAAACAACCCAGACCGCCAGCUAAGGUCCCAAAUUACUACUAAGUGGGAAACGAUGUGGGAAGGCUCAGACAGCCAGGAUGUUGGCUUAGAAGCAGCCAUCAUUUAAAGAAAGCGUAAUAGCUCACUGGUCGAGUCGGCCUGCGCGGAAGAUGUAACGGGGCUAAGUAGUAAACCGAAGCUGCGGCAAUACUCUUUGAGUAUUGGGUAGGGGAGCGUUCUGUAAGCGGUUGAAGGUGUGUGGUAACGCAUGCUGGACGUAUCAGAAGUGCGAAUGCUGACAUGAGUAACGAUAAAGGGGGUGAAAAACCUCCUCGCCGGAAGACCAAGGGUUCCUGUCCAACGUUAAUCGGGGCAGGGUAAGUCGACCCCUAAGGCGAGGCCGAAAGGCGUAGUCGAUGGGAAACGGGUUAAUAUUCCCGUACUUCUUACAAUUGCGAUGGGGGG